GACGAACGCUGGCGGCGUGCUUAACACAUGCAAGUCGAACGGAAAGGCCCUGCUUUUGUGGGGUGCUCGAGUGGCGAACGGGUGAGUAACACGUGAGUAACCUGCCCUUGACUUUGGGAUAACUUCAGGAAACUGGGGCUAAUACCGGAUAGGAGCUCCUGCUGCAUGGUGGGGGUUGGAAAGUUUCGGCGGUUGGGGAUGGACUCGCGGCUUAUCAGCUUGUUGGUGGGGUAGUGGCUUACCAAGGCUUUGACGGGUAGCCGGCCUGAGAGGGUGACCGGCCACAUUGGGACUGAGAUACGGCCCAGACUCCUACGGGAGGCAGCAGUGGGGAAUAUUGCACAAUGGGCGGAAGCUUGAUGCAGCAACGCCGCGUGCGGGAUGACGGCCUUCGGGUUGUAAACCGCUUUCGCCUGUGACGAAGCGUGAGUGACAGUAAUGGGUAAAGAAGCACCGGCUAACUACGUG
rnacentral:rRNA from 1 species